rnacentral:rRNA from 1 species
UACAGAGGUGGCAAGCGUUGUUCGGAAUUACUGGGCGUAAAGGGCGCGUAGGCGGCCUUCUAAGUCAGACGUGAAAUCCCCCGGCUUAACCUGGGAACUGCGUCUGAUACUGGGAGGCUUGAGUAUGGGAGAGGGAUGUAGAAUUCCAGGUGUAGCGGUGAAAUGCGUAGAUAUCGGAAGGAACACCGGUGGCGAAAGCGGCGCGCUGGAUCCCUUCUGACGCUGAGGCGCGAAAGCCAGGGGAGCGAACGGG